rnacentral:lncRNA from 1 species
GCUAAAAAAAAACUUAGGAUGCACUCUGGGCAGAAUCGUGUGGCACGCGAAGGUAAAUGCAGACGAACAUUGGAAUCUUGAAAUGACCACUCAUCUGAAAUUUGCAGAGUCGCUCGAGAUCUCCGCAUCAAUUUGGGACCCCAUAAUAAGGGGGAAAGAUUAAAAAAAACGGGGGAACGAAAUCAUCAGCAACUCACGGGACACACGGGGAGUCACAGAUCUCAUCAACUGUUACAAUGGGCAUACGCAGCACCAUAUAUAUUUUUGUUGUUGUUCAUCUUCUUGGCUAGAGACUCAACGAAUCAAGCAAGAGCACAUAAUAGAUCAAGAAACGGAUCGUAUCACCACGCAUUUCUUGGGCGGAGGGAGGCGCGGUUCGGUCAGGUCACAUCUUGGCGACGGAGGCGGAGGAGCCGGACCGGUCGUAGUAGUACUCAGGGAUCGGGCGGGAGAAGGAGCGGCGGGCCUCCUCGAGGUCCUCCUCCUCCUCGUCGCCGUCGUCCUCCGCGGUGUGGAGGUGGAUGCAGGAGCAGCGCUCGAGGGACGCGAAGAAGGCCGACGCCACGCCGGUCGCCACCCACAUCGCGUAGCUCUCCAUGUUCCCGUACGACAGGAACCCGCCGUUGGGGUUGAUGCCGUUCAUGGCUGCCUGCCCGUGCUUCCCCUGCCUCCCGCCGAACGGCCCGGCUUGGUCCGAGGAAGAGAGCGGAGACGAGGCGAGGCGGUGGUGGGUUAAUCGGUCGGUUGGUUUGCCUUGGGUUUCAGACCUCUCGCGUGGGUGGGAUGUCCUCGUCGUCGUGGUCGCUGUGGUUGCGAUCUCUUUUUUUUAGACAAAAGACAGCGAUGGUCGUCCCGAAAUUAGGAGUAGCUCUCACGAUAAACGGAUCGGAC